CGGGAGGCUGCAGCAGUGGGGAAUAUUGGGCAAUGGGCGCAAGCCUGACCCAGCAACGCCGCGUGAGGGAAGAAGGUUUUCGGAUUGUAAACCUCUGUCCUUGGGGACGAAGAAGUGACGGUACCCAAGGAGGAAGCUCCGGCUAACUACGUGCCAGCAGCCGCGGUAAUACGUAGGGAGCAAGCGUUGUCCGGAAUUACUGGGCGUAAAGGGUGCGUAGGCGGCAUAUUAAGUCAGGUGUGAAAUACUCGGGCUCAACCCGGGGGCUGCAUUUGAAACUGAUAUGCUUGAGUGUGAGAGAGGAAAGUGGAAUUCCUAGUGUAGCGGUGGAAUGCGUAGAUAUUAGGAGGAACACCAGUGGCGAAGGCGACUUUCUGGCUCAUAACUGACGCUGAGGCACGAAAGCGUGGGGAGCAAACAGGAUUAGAUACCCCUGUAGUC
rnacentral:rRNA from 1 species